CGCCGCAGGCCCCGCGCCGCCGCCUCCGGCCCCGCGCGCCGCCGUCCCGCACAGCCGCAGUCCCGGUCUCCCGCGCGGCGCGCAUGCUGGUGGAGUGGACCGUGGACGAGUGGUGGUUCUCACUGAGUCACUUCUCAGGUUCUGGCAAUCUGGUUACUGUCUGGCAGACGAGAAACAGGAGGCAGCUAGGUAGUUUGGCAAAUGGCAAGGCAAUUUGUUGCCUAACACGAGCACUGCAGUACCUCGGGCAUCAGGCGGCUAGCUCAUCUGCAGGUGUAGCUCCAAGCACUCACAAAAAUACAUUUUCAUGUCCUUUUAGCUAGAAUGGUACAGAUCACAGAUGCAUAUAUGCUUACUACUACCAGUGUAGCGUGUUUUGUUGUAAUGUCAGGCUU